AUGUACCCGGGUUCAUCCAUGCACUUCCCCCGUCUGCUAUUGACAGUGCUGAUGCCAGAACAGAAAAGAAAGAGAGAUGGUAGUUUCCAUGUGAGUUCUGACGCACACGAAGAAGCGAUUCAUCAUCAUCAGGGAGAGGUGAUGCAGCUUCACACAAAGUAUCACAUUCAACGACAGACUGUUAACUUAAGCUGUUACUCAAGAAUUGAUCCUGAUACAAGAUAUGAGAGAGGUGUUUUUAUUUCUUUGCGAAGAAAUAUGAGAGAGAUGUUGGUGCAACAUGUGAAUGUACAAAUCCUGAGACCAACAAUCGGAGAACUGAAAGGCAUAAACAUGGUUCAGCUAGGAUUUUAUUUGAAUGAUUCUUCGAUAAACAAGGAUCUGAAUGAGCUUGCAGCGUGGUGA
rnacentral:rRNA from 1 species